GCCGCGGUGAAUACGUUCCCGGGCCUUGUACACACCGCCCGUCACACCACGAGAGUUUGUAACACCCGAAGUCGGUGGGGUAACCUUUAUGGAGCCAGCCGCCUAAGGUGGGACAGAUGAUUGGGGUGAAGUCGUAACAAGGUAGCCGUAUCGGAAGGUGCGGCUGGAUCACCUCCUUUCUAAGGA
rnacentral:rRNA from 1 species